rnacentral:tRNA from 1 species
GGCUUCAUAGCUCAGUCGGUUAAAGCGUCGCACCGGGAUCGCGAAGUCACGGGUUCAAACCCUGAUGAAGCCA